CUUUCAGAAUCAGGACCUUAG
rnacentral:misc_RNA from 1 species